AGUGAACGCUGGCGGUAGGCCUAACACAUGCAAGUCGAACGGCAGCACAGUAAGAGCUUGCUCUUACGGGUGGCGAGUGGCGGACGGGUGAGGAAUACAUCGGAAUCUACUUUUUCGUGGGGGAUAACGUAGGGAAACUUACGCUAAUACCGCAUACGACCUACGGGUGAAAGCAGGGGAUCUUCGGACCUUGCGCGAUUGAAUGAGCCGAUGUCGGAUUAGCUAGUUGGCGGGGUAAAGGCCCACCAAGGCGACGAUCCGUAGCUGGUCUGAGAGGAGGAUCAGCCAGACUGGAACUGAGACACGGUCCAGACUCCUACGGGAGGCACAAGUGGGGAAUAUAGGACAAUGGGCGCAAGCCUGAUCCAGCCAUCCCGCGUGGGUGAAGAAGGCCUUCGGUUUGUAAAGCCCUUUUGUUGGGAAAGAAAAGCAGGAGGUUAAUACCCCGCUGUUCUGACGGUACCCAAAGAAUAAGCACCGGCUAAAUUCGUG
rnacentral:rRNA from 1 species